UUUGGAACAAGGUCUUUCAAUCCAAUUUGUAAAACAGAAGCAGUAGUUGCACAAAAGCAAACAAAUGCAAAAAACAAACAGUUGGUAGAAGCUGUAGCAUGGUGCAAAGAAAAGAGUGUAAGAGGGCAGUGUGCCUUUAAAUCAGGAGUUUUCCGCUUGAUUUAAGAUUGAGAAACAAUAAAUCGACGUCUAAAUGGUAAAAUAAAGACAGGAAAAGAACGACAAUACUGCUCAAUAUUAUUAGAAGAAGAAGAGAACUCAAUUGUACGUUUUUUGAAAAAUAAAAAUAGCUCCUUGCAAGGUAUCAAUAAUGCACAAUUGACCAAAUUAAUGUUAGAUACAUUCAAAAUAAGAGAUUACACCAACAAGAAAUUAGGAAAAGGACAAAAAUAUCAGCCACUAUCAUCUGCUUCAAAAUUGGAAUAAAAAAAUCAACGAUUUGGUCGCUCAUUUUGGCUAAAAUUUCAUGCAAAACAUGAUAGUUUAACAGUCAAACGUCAGGGACAAGUGCCAAUCAACAGAGUCUUUAAUUGUAGAAGGAAAAUGGCUCGCAAUCACUUAGAUGCACUAGUAGAGGAACUUAUUGCAGCUGGAAUUAUGAGAGAAGCAACGCAAAUUAAGACAAGAAUUUGGAAAGGAAAUAUUGACACCACAAGAAUUUUUAAUAAUGAUGAACUUCCUCAAUUCAUGAUGGAACUACUUCUCUUUUGGUCGAUGCUGCGAAAGGAGAUCAAUGUAAAAAAAUGCGAAAAGAAAACAGAGAAUGUAUUAGAAUUAAUCCCUUCGUGUCAU